GGAGCUGUAGCUCAGUGAUAGGGUAUCUGCCUUUCAUGCGGAAGGUCCCAGGUUCAAAUCCUGGCAUCUCCA